GGUCAGGUGGUGUAGUUGGUUAUCACGUCAGUCUAACAAUUUCAUACAUAUCUCCAAACAAAGAGAUUGGAUGAUUUGCGAGCACUGAAGGUCUCCGGUUCGAACCCGGGCCAGAUCA